GACGAACGCUGGCGGCGUGCCUAAUACAUGCAAGUAGAACGCACAGUUUAUACCGUAGCUUGCUACACCAUACACUGUGAGUUGCGAACGGGUGAGUAACGCGUAGGUAACCUGCCUGGUAGCGGGGGAUAACUAUUGGAAACGAUAGCUAAUACCGCAUAAUAUUGAUUAUUGCAUGAUAAUUGAUUGAAAGAUGCUAUUGCAUCACUACCAGAUGGACCUGCGUUGUAUUAGCUAGUAGGUGAGGUAACGGCUCACCUAGGCGACGAUACAUAGCCGACCUGAGAGGGUGAUCGGCCACCCUGGGACUGAGACACGGCCCAGACUCCUACGGGAGGCAGCAGUAGGGAAUCUUCGGCAAUGGACGAAAGUCUGACCGAGCAACGCCGCGUGAGUGAAGAAGGUUUUCGGAUCGUAAAGCUCUGUUGUAAGAGAAGAACGGGUGUGAGAGUGGAAAGUUCACACUGUGACGGUAUCUUACCAGAAAGGGACGGCUAACUACGUG
rnacentral:rRNA from 1 species